GGGUUAGAUGGAGAAGGGGGGUUCAUUUCUUUCUGAUAGUGACGGCCUUGGUUCACAGGCUGAAAGAAACAAAACAUCUGUGAGGCGGAAACCCAUCAGCUUGGCGACCUUGGCACACACCCUCGCAUCAGUCCUCAUUUCUGAUGUUUUGAUAUCAACGGUUCUCAUUUUUUGAGAUCUUAUUUCUGAUAUUCCAUCUGCAGGAGAGAGCUGCGUCCCCUUCCCAGCGUAGGCAGAGGCUCUGGGAGACCCAGCAAUCCCAGGGUGGCAUAACCCACAGAACGCAGGCCACUUUAAAGGGUUCCGUAGCAUCUGUGAUGUAAACAGAGGCCUCCCUCACAUGAGAGCUCUCCGUGUGGAAUCUUUAGGCUGUUGCUGCUUCUGGAGACAGCAGAGGAAAACAAGGUCUCCUGCUGAAAGCACUGGCAAUGGCUAGAGGUGCAGCAAAACAUAUUUAUGUCUCAGGGCCAGUAAGUUGGCGAGGACCACUCUGUUGCCGUUAGCUUGGACUGUUCAUGUGAAUCUCAGGUCCCACCCCCAAAUGUAUACGAAAACUGUGAGCAUGGAUCAGAAUGAGCUGACAAAGUGGUGCUAGUAAAAAUGGGGACUCUCUAACCCCCCCCACAAUAAACCUUUCCUCAUUUCUUGAAACACAACUAAGAAACACACAAAAAACAAGACAGAAAAACAAAUGAAUGCCAAUAAUAAAACUUGAUUUUCUUCCUCUUUGAGGAGAAAGUUCGGACAGCUAAUACCAACUCCAUUUUGAGGAUAAUUCUAAAUGUUUUCCUAACGUGGCUAACAAUGACAAAAUUCUAACAUGGAAACCACAUUAUUUUGGCCUUCUUGUUUUACCACACGGUGGAACUUGGCAUGCAUUUGUGAAGUGCAUUCAGAACUCCUGCUCCCACAGGGGUUGCUAAGGCCCCUUCACCCUAGUGAGGAGAUGUGGUCCCAUGGUGCAGAGGUGCAGAGACCAAGCUAAGAUGUGUCAGUCACCCAUGUGAGAAUCAUGUCACUUAGCCUGGCUACCUGCGAUGCACCAUGCAUUUCGGUGCUCUCAGAUAAUUUGGUGAGUGAACGGCAGGCAACACCGUCACGGUAAUCAGAAAUAACAGCUGGGAGAACAGUGGAAGGGAAAUAUGUCAUAAGGCAUAACUCAUCUCACCAGAGAAAUCAAAAUUUCAGCAAUUUGCAAGUGAAAUUUAGUUGGCAAUUUAGGCUUUAUUAUUUAGAGCGAGAGCUGCUUCUCUGGAUCAGCUUGCACUGGGAUAGGAAAUGUCCCAAUGAUGCCGUCGUUGGCAUCCACUGUGCGUCUGCAGCACUGAGGCCUCUGGUGAAUGGACUUCUGCUUAUUUAUCUCCACAUGCACUUCCAGAACUUUCUGGGUAGGUAUCACAGCUCCAUAACCGAGCAAAUGUCCACCCCUGAAUUUUAUAGCCAUUGGUUCUAUGUAAACUCAUUCCAAGCCCUUAUUCCAGAUGCUGUCUUUCCUUCCUUGGAAAGCUCUUUGCCCUGGGCACACUAGUUCUUCUCAGUGAUCCAAGGGGGAAGAAAGGCACAUCCAAUAAUGACUCACAAUAGUGUUUGGAAACAUUCAAUAACAGCUUUUCAGAGAAGGAAAAACUUCAUAUGCAGAGGUAUGUCUGCCUGAAGUCAAAUGUCAUCAAGUUGACUUUAUGGGGCUGAAGACCUGCUACCCCACCUGUGGUAUCUUGCAUUGAGAAACAGAAGCAGUGACAAGGUUGCACAUCCCUGCCCUUGCUCUUUACCUCAUACAACUGAGGAAGGAGUUUGUGGUGUACUCCUAAACCUUAUGUGAUCCUCCCUGCACCCAGAAGAAAGGAUCCCCCUUAUCUCAAGAAGGUGCAGGAACACAGGGGAGAGGCUGAUCAAAAGGCCUUGCUAAGCUCUCCUGGUAUCCUUCCAGUAGAUCAUAUCACCUUUAUUAAAUCAUAGUUCUCCAUGAAUUUCCACUCUGUCUAAUCUAGCAUGACAAUAAGCAAGAGACCAUUUCUCUUGGAAAAUUCAAGUGUAAUCAUUUCUCUGGGUCUUCCUUUUUUUUCUUUUUGAGGGUUCUUGUGUCAUGAAACACGUAUGAAAUUUAUUUGUAGGCUUUAAAAAAGAAAUGAAUCUGUCUUCUAUUAUAAAUUCUCAGCCAUGGACCUAAGGUGGGUAGUGAAGGAGACAUUUUCCCUUUCCUGGGUUUCUCCUAUAGACAUAUCAAUAAGUUUGUUUUUUGGGUAGGUAACAUCCUGUGACGGUAUCUGUGAUGGUCAAAUAAAAUCAAGGUUUGAUUUUGGAAUUUAGCCUUACGUGCAGAAUACUCUAAGUAUUCUUAGAGUAUAAUGCAAAAGGCCAUUGCUCAUGCCCAGAAGUAACAACACCAACUCCAAUAGCAGCAGCAACUUACUGGUGUCUACGAACACCUACGAGGGCCACAGCAGUGACGCAUAUUUACCUCAGUUACCUCGUGCUAAUUCUCGAGAGGGAUGAUCUCAUUUGAGCCCCACUGCAAGCCUGUGAACUACAUAUGAUUAACUCAUUUAUUAGAAGAGGACAUUCUGCUACUAGUAUUAACCCAAGACCGUGCUUGCCAGGACACGGUGCAGCUAGGAUCUGUACCCAUUCGUGAGACUCCAUCUCGGCACUAGUUUGUUUGUAUUGUUUAAUGCAGCUUGGGAAUUCACGCAGAAUGUGGAAUGCAAUGUUUCUGAAUAACAACCUGGCAGGAUCCAUUCAGUAUACGGAAAGGAAAAAGGAAGCAGUCCCAAGAUACAUUUGUCUGAAGCAUACGAGACUGUCCGAUUUUUAUAAAUUAAGUUCACUUGAUUUGACACUCACAGCAUGUCGCUAUAUAUUUAAAGUUAACAUCAGUAAGAUUUUAAGCACACUGAUGAACGUGGGCCUGUUAUAUAUAGUUGAGUUAUAUCAGGCAACACACACUCGGAGAAUAAGGACCAUUCAUAUUGUGAGGUGACUUUUGUAGUCGCUAGCCAUAGAACAACUUGCACAUAACCAUAUUUUCUCCUGACAGCACAGAAAUGACCGUGACUCUAAUAUCAGUUUCCUCGUAUCAUUUCUCAGUUUCAUCUGAUUUUAUCUACAGUGCAGCACAAUCAAAACCCUACCUUCCUAGUUUACCCAGAUAACAAACAAGCCUGGCAUAUCCUGCAAGAGCUGAGGAACUAAUGAGUCUGUGGAUGAGAAGAAAUUAAGACCCAUUAGGGCCCCAGUCCGUGUGCACGGCCCCAGGAUGCCUGCUUAGCUCCAGGAGCCAUGAGAAGAGGAACUUGAAGAACUCCUGCCAGGUAGCAGGCUCCUAACAUGGAAAGGCCCUUUGGGGCUGGCUCAGCAGCUAAUGGUGCUUUCCACAGAGCCUGACAACUGGGCCCAGUCAAUCCCUGGGACUGCCAUGGUGGAAGAGAACUAAUUCAGCCAGGCUGUGCUCCAACAUCCAUGCCCGUGCCAUGGUGCGUACCCCUCACAGAUAGAUGAACGUAAAGGACUUCUUUAAUAAAAAGUUAGCCACCCUGUAAGGCAGAGGAGGCGGUGGAAACAACCAAACCCAGACAAAAUCCAAACAAACAAGUGGGUGUGUCCCAAAGGGAGAGGUCAAUGGAAGAGCAGGCAGGCUGGCAGAGAACAGGGACAGGGGACACUGUGGCUGGAGCGCAGUGUCAUUCGCCUGUGCACAUGCUGGAUGGGGUGGGGCAGGCAGCCAGGGUGAGUCUCAAGUUCUAUGUGAGCUGAGGGAGAGGGCCUGAAGAGAAGGGUAUCUGGCAUAAGGAGAGACGCUGCUCUCACCUCCACAGUCUGCCUCUUUCUCGAAUCUGAAAUGCCUUCCUCUGUUUUGUCUACAUGUAAACUUGCACUCCUUCAUGAGCUCUGACCUAAGUGAGGACGUCUGACAGCGUGCCUGGGACCUAGAGGCCAUGUUGAUAUGGAUUGCUCCUUCCUAUACCUUCCCACAGUUCUUUGUCUCACUGACACUCAUCAUCCUGAAUCGCAGAGCUUCUGUCGCUCUGUGAGCAUCCUAAGGUGGGGACAAGUUUUAUCCCUAACAUCCCUCCUAGUCCCCACCACAUUGUACUGAAUAGGUGCGGAAUGAGCGCAUGCGACACAGAUGACGAAGUCUGGGACGGGAGGUGGACAUUUACUCCUGCUCUGGGCACAGAGGAAGAUAUGGCCUUCACAGUGAGGCCUAGAGUAGUGCCACCGAAAAUCCUGGAGCUGUCUGGGUGUCAAUCCGGAGCAAGGUACACGGAUACCCUCACCGUGCAGGUACAGAGCUGGAACUGUAACUUGGAGGGAAUGGUGGAGAGAAGGGGGAAGUGAGGCUGGGGUAGGGUGGUCUCUCAGAGUGCAGGAAGCCCUCUGCCUCAGACUCCAGAGGCAAUGGGAGUCACUGCUUUAGGGAGAACGGAGCGUGUGUGAAUAUCCACAGAGACCAGAAGAGGAGGUUGGGUCCCCUAGAGCUGGAGUAACAGGCAGCUGUGGGCUGCCUGCUGUGGCUACAACAGACUGAAUUCUGGCCAUCUGACAACUAAGGAUUUUACUAAGUGCUUAUUAUGUUUCAAAUUCAGCAGCAGAUGUUUUACAAGGCGGUAGGCCACCGGGUGAGUGCUCCUAACCCUUAGAUCAGAGGCAAGGAGAUGAGGUAUGAGAAAAGCCAGACAAACAGCACCGCGCCAAGUCCCUCUUCUGACCUCCGAGGAUACCAGGAGUGCACAUGCAGGAUGCGGAGUUCAUUACGGAAUGCAAUUUCCCAUUUGUUGCUAGUUCCAGUGGUGGAGCAAACCGAACUUGAUGAAAUAAUAAACACGUCCCAUGAAUCUGAAGAAUAGGACAGCGAUGAGAACCCCGUAUCCAGGGCAACCAAGAGUUCAGACUUCUCAGUCCAUAAAUAAUCAUUCCCCGGCUUGCCCUCUGUACUCCUGGUCUCUGAGCCACUUUCUGACAAAAUGGGCUCCAUCCGGACGGAGGCUGCCACUCUUUCUCUAACUGGGGCUUAAAUGACUGCUGGGGAAUAUUCUAUAAAAAAGGCACCGUUUCACUUCUGUCUGCAACUGACUCUUGUAAUUUUUCUCUGGUGAGAGGAUGCUCUGUGGCCAGAGUCAUGGGGGCAUAGAUACCAUCUAGCACCAAGCUGCCUAGAAAGUUCUGGGUAUCCAUGGCUGCGUCUAAUGAGACCAGAUUGAGCAAGAGGAAGCUGGAGGCAGGGGAGACAGAGACAAAGGUCCCAAAGUGAGCACUGGUGGUAACUGUCCGCCUUUGAACCUCCUUAGAGACUUCUGGAUUCACUGUCCAUGAUGACUUGCAUGUUCUCUCAAGAGCACAGGAACCUUAUCUUCCAUUGGAUGCCUGUAGCACCCAUUUGACAAGCAACUCACAUAUUAAGAGUCAGGAAGACAGCCGGGCCACUUCUCAGGAACCGCAGUGUUCUCACAGGAAGUGGAAACGCUAGUGGCAGCUGGAAGGACUCAUGUAACUAACACAUUGGACUACACGCCAAGAGGCUGCCCAGACACACGAUGUCUACAAAACUGUUGGGGGGCCUGGAACAACUGGCAGAUAGCAAACAAUUACUUAUUAAAUAUGCAAAACUUAUCUUCUCUCUACUACAUUUGAACUUAACAUUAUGUAGGUUUAAAACGUAUCUUAAACAUUUUAAGGAUUUAUUGAUAUUUACUUAA
rnacentral:sRNA from 1 species